rnacentral:rRNA from 1 species
GACAGAGGGUGCAAACGUUGUUCGGAAUUACUGGGCGUAAAGCGCGUGUAGGCGGUCGCGCAAGUCGGGUGUGAAAGCCCGGGGCUCAACCCCGGAAGUGCAUUCGAUACUGCGUGGCUAGAGUACCGGAGAGGGUGGUGGAACUCUGGGUGUAGAGGUGAAAUUCGUAGAUAUCCAGAAGAACACCGGUGGCGAAGGCGGCCACCUGGACGGAUACUGACGCUGAGACGCGAAAGCGUGGGGAGCAAACAGG